CUCUGUCGACCGGUCACACCCGCAUGAGCCCUACAUCUUGAUCAGGUAAACGUACGUAGUUUGUGGGAGUUAUUAGAUUGAUCAUUGUUAGAUAUCUUCACCUUUGAUAUAGCGCCUUAUAUAAAACAAAUUACUCUAAGGUGCUUUACAAGGGUAAGAAUAAUAAUGCAACAAUAAAGCAAUUCAAUGAAAUUAAAUGACAGUAUGACAUUAUAUCUUAUAUAUGUAAAAUUUUCUAAAUAAAAAACUAUUUUUAAGAUUGAUAGCUAAAAGGUUUUUAAUAUUUUUUGUUUGAUAAUUAAAACAGUUCAGCUUCAAGAUAUUUUGACUUUUUGAUGUCAUCUGGAUGGUGUUUUUUUUUUUUUUUUUUUUUUCUGAUUUUUGUCACCACAAGUCACGACUGCGAUUCUGACCGUAAUAGUCGAAUUGGCUUGUAUUCAUUUAAAAGACUUGCGAUGUAUAACGGCGCAUAUCCGUAGAAGGAACAGUACACAUUGGUCAAAAAUAUGCAGCCGUUCACCGGCAGGGUGGUGUCUCUGUAUGAGUAAAAAUUCUCUAGAGGGACGUUAAACAAUAUACAAUCAAUCAUUCAAUCAUAAACGAGGUUGACUACGUCACCUUGUAAUCAACACACAAACACCUUUGUGCCAGAAAAAACAAAUCCAAGCACUCGUGUUCCAGAUUAAUUUAUCUACAAACCAAGGUCAGAAGUGACGUCAGCUAAAACCAGGUAAAGGUGAUCAUUCACGCACAUUUCAAUCAUAGAUAGCACUAAUGCUUUAUUUGAUACAAAAAAUCUAAACUCUUUUCUUAUUCAUCUAACACAUAUUUGGGAAUCUGUGUUCCGCCAUUUUUCUAUUAUGCGACCAAAUUAGUUCAGUGAUUCACCGAUUACUCCAUUGACUGCUUACAAGGUAACUAGGGAAAAGGCCGAGUAGUUACAUGUACGAUUGACAAACAACACAUGGGGAAAGGAAUUUCCGGUGAGUGUCUGACGAUAUAAAUUGCGGGAGCGGGACGUUGGGCGGCAGAAGCUCCAAUUGUUCGUUCUCGCUCUCAUUCAAUUUACUCAGGUGACCGAUAAAGAUCAUCAACCUGAUAUCGUGAUAAUCGCAUAAAGACAUCUAGAUAUUGCUUCAAAAAUACUGGUUAAAACAAUCCGACUAAUUCCCUGCAAUAUCUUAGACACGAUGUCUUCUAAAAGCACUCGUAUUUUGGUAUUUAUUUUGUGGGCAUCCAUCUUUCAUUUUGGACACCAAACACAACAACCCCACGAAUCAUGCGAGCCGAUUAGGAUUACUUUAUGCAAAGACUUACCAUAUAACAUGACUGUCAUGCCGAACCUUUUGAACCAUCGUAAUCAAGAAGAUGCCGGACUAGAGGUGCAUCAGUUCUUUCCCCUUGUGAAAGUCAAGUGCAGCCAAUAUUUGAAAUUGUUCCUAUGUGCAGUAUAUGCUCCAGUAUGCUCGGGCUCUGGGUACGCGAUUCCACCAUGUCGUCCCUUAUGUAACGAAGCUAGAAAUGGAUGCGAGCCAUCAAUGAGAAGAUUUGGGUUUCAAUGGCCGGACAAUUUAAUGUGUGAACAGUUUCCACAGAUGAACUGUGUCGAACCCUCAGGAUCAACUACUGUUGGAUUAGGAAUGCUUUAAAACACUUUGUACGUUUCAUAUUGUAGUAAUUUCAAUAAAAAUAACAAUAUACAUAUAAUCAAAUUAUAUCAAACCUGUAAAGCUUUAAAUAUGAGCCUCUCAGAGAGGAGGAAAUUGUCGUUUGAAGGAAAAACAUCUUGAAACACUGUAAUUACGCUGUCAUUAUCGGUUUUAGUGUAAAGUUUUCCUGAUAUCUAGUUGGUUCGGGGUUUUUUUUUCGUAUAGGAAUAUGGAUGAUUUCAUGUACGGAAAAAGUCAAAAGUACAACAAUUUCAAUUAGUUCAAUACGUGAAGAUUAAAACUCAAUGACGUAUAGAAUAUAUCUGGAGAAACAUGAUUCACAUCUUUCGACCGCAAAUAGUAAUCUUUUUUUCACAACUCUUGUGCGUUACAUCAAGUUGACCCAAACAUCCGCCAAACGUCAAAUAGAAACUUUCCCAAAACCACAGAUAACAGGCAAACUAACUGAUAUGCUCGUAUACGUGUACCCACACAAUUAUGUUAUGUCAUUCCAGCCAGGCAUAUACAGGUUCAACAACUCUUGAUCGUUCUGCAACAAGAGUUCGCUAUUUCAUAUUGUCUGCAACACAAGACUCAAGAGUUGGAAUAAAUAAGGUCAAUAAUGGACAAACGCUGCAAAACCUGUUACAUUGAUUUCACCCUUUCAGAAUAACACAGUAUAAUCAAGUGAAUAU